rnacentral:ncRNA from 1 species
GAGAGCCCGGUGCUCGGAGACGGGCACGCCGGGUUCGGCGGGCGGGUCGGGGAAACCCACCAGGAGCAAUCCCGGCAGCGCCCCGACCGACCCAAC